GGCAUCAUGGGAAUUGUAGUUGUUUAAGUAAGCGGGGUGGCGCAUGCGCACUGCAACCUUACGCUGAGUGGGAGCAGCUUGGCUUCGAGACCAUGAGGGCGAAGUGGAGGAAGAAACGGAUGCGCAGAUUGAAGCGCAAGCGGAGGAAGAUGAGGGCAAGGUCCAAGUGAAGCCCCCAGCUGGAGAACAGCAAUACAUGGUGACUGGCAGCUGUGUUGAAGUUUUGGCUUUGUCAGUAGUCAGUGAAUGAUUUUCAAGCUUUCAUGUUUCAUGGGAUACCUGUUUGUUUUAUCAGUUAUGAAACUUUGUUUUGGAAUGUGUUUUAUGCAGUUUUUGAUGUUAUAAAAUAAAACUAACAUUGUUUUGAAAACUUUUUAAAAAAUCUAGUUGAGUGCAUUUGAAAGCCAAGCAAGAGUAAAGUGAGUAUUUUAAUAUGACAAAUUUAUUUUCCUCAUUAGUUGUUCUAAACUUAACUUUCUGUUACCAUUUUAGUCUCUAAACAAAAUAGUGAAGUUAUUGUUUCUAAACCAGAUGGAAUGUUUGCUGAACUUGUAUCAUUUGACACCCUGAUUAUUGGCGACAACUUACAUGUGACAGCACAAUGCCACGUUGCACAGUCCGUCGAUUCCAGCCCAUCGAGCAUAAAUCUCACUCAGCUGUGGACGAUUAAGUGCAAUAUAUUUUUAUAGUUUCUUGCCCUUUGCCAAGGGUAUUGUUACACCAAAUUAAAGCAGAAAAUGAUGGAAAUACUGAGCAAGUCAGGCAGUGGAGAGAGAAACACAGUUAACAUUUCAGGUCUGUUUCUUUUAUCAGAACAGCCAAGUGGUUAUGGUACUGGGCUUGUAACCCCAAGAUCAAGAGUUCAAAUCUCACCAUGGCAAAUUAUGAAACAAUGUAAUUUCAUCUGGGCAGGGAAAAGAUCCAGAACUGGAACAAUGCUGUUACACUCAUAGACGCUGCCAGUCCUGCUGAGUAUUUGCAGCAUUUUCUCUUUAUUUCGGAUUUCCAGCAUCUGCAGUAUUUUGCUUUUGUAUUAUUGUUACAUCUUAUGUGCAAGGCUAAAAGAUGGGAAACUUGCAUUAUACACCAAAAGGGUGAGAAUGAUACAGCACAAAGAGGCCAUUCAGCCCAUUGUGUGUUUUGCUGGUUCUUUGAAAGAGCUGUCUACUUCUUUCUCUUUUCCUUGAAGCCUUACAAUUUUUUCUUUUUUACAUGUUCAGUUCCCUAUUGAAUGUUUUGUCAUUAUGGAUGAGGGAGGUUCCAUGCUGCAGUGUUUACUAAUUUCCUGAAUCAUUCCUGUCCUAUAAUUUAUAACUGAAAAAUUUGAGCUAAUUUGCAUUAUAAAUUCCUUUUCCAUAUUUAUAAUGGAUAUGGCCUCUGUAAACUUAUCUUGCUGAAGCUCUGAGGCAGGAGGGUGUAAUUAAUGUGACAAGUUUACUUGGGCAAUUAUACAAUCUAAAUAUGGGUGUCGGGAUUUGAAAGUAUUAAAAUGACAAUAUAUGGCAACAAAAUAGAGAUUGAAUUAUAUUGCUAUCAGUACCAGCACACUACUUGCACAUAUAAAAGACUGUUCUGACUAAAUAGUCUUGUUAUGACAGAUUCAUUCCUACUUUUCAUAUUUGUAGCUAUAAACUAUUAUCAUACAUAUUUUUUUGAAUAUUGCUGAAAAGAGAUAUGUUGCCAAAGCUUUUUGCUUUGCGCUCAUUAGGCCAAAUAUUUCAAACUAUAGCAACAAUUUAUACAGGAGAAAAAGGUGCUGAUUGAUUGGCAAGUUGACACCAUUGACUGAGGUUUUUGCAUGGAGAAAGCAAUGGGGGAACUAUCGGCUGUCCAAGCAACCUGGCAAUUCAAAAAAGGCUGAAGACUUGAACCGUGGAACAUUUCCUUCUGUGCAUUCCUAUCACCAAAUCUUUUUUUUUAAUCUCCCUCCUUCCUUACUUUCAGUAUCAUGACAUUGCUUCAUAUUCAGUGAUGAUACAUUUUUGUUGCCUUUACGUUGCUACUAUUAGCUUUGCAAGAGGAUGUUUUCAGAACAGUUGGACUUUGCAAUAAAACAUCUUAAAUGAUUGCA